ensembl:lincRNA Gm29440 predicted gene 29440
CCGUCAGGCCGUAACGAAGCGUCAAGCGUCCUCUCCACGCUCAGCCCAGAGAAGACAGAGAAUGAAGCUGAGAACUUCUUCCCUCAGUACAGUAUGGACCACCAUCCUCCAGAGGGCAGUGAGCCCCUCCUCUUCUCCUCCCGCCUGUAGAAAGGAUGUCAGAGGAGGCCUAAAGGAGACUCGGGCCUUUCAUCCCCACUCAAAGGUAGCACUGUUUUCCAUUCCUCAGUGACACUGGCGGCCAUAGGGGAACAGCCAUGUGACACAUUUCUCCUUCCAAGGCUGGAUGGUCUUAGCAGGAACCUAAUAGCAUCCCGAGCUCUCAAUAACAUGAGGGAGGGCUGCAUGGAGACUCUGGAUUUACAGCCCUGCGAAGGGAUGAGCCAGUAUGUUGCUUCUUGGGAACAGCAGGAGGUGACUGCCAAAGUGAAAGUCAUGAGACCUCAGCUCAGGCGCUCAUAAUGCAAAAAAUGCACUAAGGUCAAGGAAAUCUCAAGCCAACAGAGGAAAGAUAAUCUACAGAUACCAACCUCAAGAUGACACUGAGGUUAGAAUUAUCUGACAAAGACUUCAACGAUGCCUUUAUAAAAAAAAAAAAACACUUCAAGAAGAAUCACACACUCAUGGGCCUAAGGCAGGAAGGUGGCUGCCUUAAUCACUUUUCACGGCUGUGAUGAAGCAGGGCUCAAGCAGGAAGAUCACAAAUUCAAGAUUGAUCUAUCUCAAAAACGAAAGAGAGAAAGUCAAGGCGGUUGUGAUGGUGGCUCACACGUUUGGUCCCAGAACUUGGGAGGCAGAGGCAGAGGGAUUGCUGAGUUCAAGGCCAGCCUGGUCACAGAGUGAGUUCCAGGACAGCCAGAGCUACACAGAGAAACCCUGUCUAAAAAAAAAAAAAAAAUAAAAUAAAAU